rnacentral:rRNA from 1 species
AAGGGAAACCGAGUCUUAACUGGGCGUUAAGUUGCAGGGUAUAGACCCGAAACCCGGUGAUCUAGCCAUGGGCAGGUUGAAGGUUGGGUAACACUAACUGGAGGACCGAACCGACUAAUGUUGAAAAAUUAGCGGAUGACCUGUGGCUGGGGGUGAAAGGCCAAUCAAACCGGGAGAUAGCUGGUUCUCCCCGAAAGCUAUUUAGGUAGCGCCUCGUGAACUCAUCUUCGGGGGUAGAGCACUGUUUCGGCUAGGGGGCCAUCCCGGCUUACCAACCCGAUGCAAACUACGAAUACCGAAGAAUGUUAUCACGGGAGACACACGGCGGGUGCUAACGUCCGUCGUGAAGAGGGAAACAACCCAGACCGCCAGCUAAGGUCCCAAAGUCAUGGUUAAGUGGGAAACGAUGUGGGAAGGCACAGACAGCCAGGAUGUUGGCUUAGAAGCAGCCAUCAUUUAAAGAAAGCGUAAUAGCUCACUGGUCGAGUCGGCCUGCGCGGAAGAUGUAACGGGGCUAAACCAUG